rnacentral:tRNA from 1 species
CAGAGAAUAGUUUAAUAAAAAUACUAGUUUUGGGAAUUAGUGAUAAGAGUAAACUCUUUUCUCUGA